UUAGGCUCUUCAACCUGCUCUACUGAACAGUCAUCUCUAGGGCAGUAACAUGCUGUUUUAAUUACCAUUGCUUUGUGAUAAAGGCAGUGUAGUGUGACAGAGGCUUAAACACAGAUGCAUAGGUUAUGGAAGCAGGGUGUCUGCCUCACAUCCAUAAUCCCGCACUUCUAGCUGUGUGAUUCUGUUUAUCCUACAAAGCCUGCAUUUUCUUAUCUUGAAGUGGCGGCAAUAUUAGUAUCUGCAUCACAGGUAUGUUGUGAGCAUCAAAUUGCAUUAAUACAUGUAAAGCACUUCCUUAAGUGGUAAGGCUUCAGUCAAUGCAGCAUUUUAUUUAUUUACUUAUGCACAUAUUUAUUUACUUAUGCAUUCUUUCAUUUCAACAUCCAACAGGCCUAGUUUCUCUUACUUUCUUUCUUAUCAACAUUUUGUUGACUGUUCUGUCUUUACACUUCCACAGGAGACCUAGAAUCAGUGAAAAAGAAGAUUCUACUUGACAAAUAGAAGAUUCUAUUUGAAGACGACUGGAUUGAAUUUAAAGUAAAGAGAAUUCGACAAGGUUACAAUAUUUGCUUCUUUUCAUUCCAGAACUUUCCAGCUGGCCUCCUGGUCUUGCUCCUAACUUUGAUGCAAACGUUGGUCUCACUAAAAAGCAUAAUGCAGGAAGGAGGAUGCCCUGAGAGAGGUGUUCGCUUUCCCAUAAAGGAAAAAUCUGAAGGGAGAGCUUGUGAAGAGCGUAUCAGAAAAGCCUAGGCUGGUGUGUGCGCCGGCAAGGGGCUCCCGGGCCCCCUCCGCGCGGCCCACGCUCUGCUCUGCCCCAGGGGCUGAAGUUUCUCCCUGCGUUUCCGCUUGAACAGCAUCCAGCUGCCUCGCCUUUAAAAUGCCAGGACGGCCGCCGCUCCGCUCAGAGCCCCCUCUCGGCGGCUGGCCGGGUCUCGCCCGCGCCGCCGGGGCGCUGACUCAGCCGCAGCCCGCCCAGCCCGGCUUGGGCAGCGCCCCCCGCGCCACCGACCAGCACGCGCCGCAGCGAGCGCACCGGACUGCCUCGCCAGGUGCUGAAUGGCGGUCCCUGCAUGGACGUGGGGACCCAGAAGAUGGACAGUGUGCGGCAAUGCGCUCCCUCGAAGCCAGGCUCCUCCCACUCCCCAGAUGGUCCGGAGUAUCAGACUCCUCCAGCACCUAUGGCUCCCCACCAGGAUAG
rnacentral:lncRNA from 1 species